UACGGAGGGUGCAAGCGUUAAUCGGAUUUAUUGGGCGUAAAGGGCGCGUAGGCUGGCGAAUAAGUCAGAUGUGAAAUCCUGAGGCUUAACCUCAGAGCUGCAUUUGAAACUAUUUGUCUAGAGGGUAGGCGGAGAAAACGGAAUUCCACAAGUAGCGGUGAAAUGCGUAGAUAUGUGGAAGAACACCGGUGGCGAAGGCGGUUUUCUAGCUUACUCCUGACGCUGAGGCGCGAAAGUUAGGGGAUCAAAGCAG
rnacentral:rRNA from 1 species